rnacentral:rRNA from 1 species
UGAGCUUGAUCCUGGCUCAGGAUGAACGCUAGCGGCAGGCUUAACACAUGCAAGUCGAGGGGUAUUAGUUUUCGGACUAAGAGACCGGCGCACGGGUGCGUAACGCGUAUGCAAUCUACCUUUUACAGAGGGAUAGCCCAGAGAAAUUUGGAUUAAUACCUCAUAGUAUAAUGACUCGGCAUCGAGAUAUUAUUAAAGUCACAACGGUAAAAGAUGAGCAUGCGUCCCAUUAGCUAGUUGGUAAGGUAACGGCUUACCAAGGCUACGAUGGGUAGGGGUCCUGAGAGGGAGAUCCCCCACACUGGUACUGAGACACGGACCAGACUCCUACGGGAGGCAGCAGUGAGGAAUAUUGGACAAUGGGCGCAAGCCUGAUCCAGCCAUGCCGCGUGCAGGAUGACGGUCCUAUGGAUUGUAAACUGCUUUUAUACGAGAAGAAACACUGCUUCGUGAAGCAGCUGACG